CGGGGGAGGCCAGAUCCUGGCUGUGUCCCGGCGCCCUGCCGGGGCCUGCGCUAUUGGAUUCGCGCUCCCGGCCUGCAGCCCCCU
rnacentral:pre_miRNA from 1 species